rnacentral:lncRNA from 1 species
AUAUUCUUACUUUUAGGGAAAACCAUGAGAGAUGAAAGCAUUUCUAACUUCAGAAGUAGACCUCAGUGUAAUUACAUAAUUUAAAACUAAUGAAUGGAGACGCUGCACAUCAUCCCCGAAGACCGGAUCACAAGCAGCAAAGCUAUAUCCACCCCAAUUUUGUGUAAAAAGGUCGCCAUUGCCUUCAAUGGCCCUUCACAUGCCACCACCAAUUCUCAACUGAGGCGGAUUAAUGGCACCACUACCCACAUCCUUUAGCAACCUUUACUAGUAGAACUAUUGUCACUUUUAAUCCCAUUCUCGUUACUUGUCACCAAAAUCUAACCACUUGGAGUAUCAUAUAACUAGAGUCACCAACACCACCUGUAGAGCACAGUUGCACUGCCAGCCACAUAAACACAACAUGUAAUGCAAUGCGCUGAAAUAUAAUAUAGAUAUGCACAAUAAGGGUAAAGUGGGAAAUACCCUGGGCAUACUUACCUCAUCAAACCCUACCUUAGAAGCUUUCAAUAACCAAAAACCCACCACAAAAUCAAUAUAGGUAAAUAGGUAUACCAAGUUUGCUAAGGUGGACUACACAGAAGUGCUUUAUCAACACUUACUAAGUAUUACUGCCAUCACAAAUGCUGAAAAGCUAUUCACCCCUUGAACCCUUGCCAGUUCCAACACUUGCAAUCACUCAAAAAAAUUGUGUAAAUCCAAAUAUAAAUGUGAAGUUCUGUUCUUACAUUCAGGAUCAUUACUGACCGAUGUGAAAGUUGCAAAUUAGUGGCCUAUAGGUGUCAAAAUGUUUAACUGUCAUUAGGAAGCUGGGAAUACUCUCUGAGAAAACAGUUGAGGAUUUCAGGCUACCUAUUGAGUAAAUACUUAUAUAGGUGGAGUUAAGUAAUUUCUUUCUUCGUUUUUUUUUCUUUUUCCUUCACUCUAUUGUGUUUACUUGUGUGAUUGCGAGGGGAGUGUUACGCUGGAUCUUUUAGAACCAAUUCAGAAGCUUUAUGAAUCUUUUUGCUCGACUCAAGUAAACAGUGGAUUGUACUGCUUAUAUAAAGUAUUCGGGUGCAGAUUAUUUAGGAGAAAACUGGUGACAACCAAUAAAUCUUUCAAAAUACAAAGGAUUAAAUGUUUGCAAUUUUGUCGACACACUUUCAAUAUUUCUGUUCAACUUUGGAAUAUUAAAUUUUAUCAGUGGCAUAGUAUAUCCUGCCUUAAGAAACUGACCAUGUAAGCUCCAAAAAAAAAUUAUUGAUCAACUUGGAUAGUCAUUUGAAUUUUAAAUUCUUUUAUUUUGCCUAAAAUAUCCAUUCAAUAUACUCUACCUUUAACCAUUUACUUGUACUAAUGUAGACCAUUGCAAAUAUAAAAUUAUAAUUUCCAGGAAUGUUUAUAACAGUUGUGAACACUGAGAUUGUUUGAUAAUGUCCAAUUUUAGUCUAGAAAGAUCCUCUGCCAGAUAUACAAUGAGAUUGAUCAAAUACAUUUGUAUAUUUCACUUAAAACAACCUUUUCCAAACUACUUGGCAAUAAGUCCUGACAACACAAAUUAUACUUCCUAAUUUUUUAUGAGAUUAUACUAUCCUCAACAUAAUACUAGGUUUUCAAUUUGAACUUCUUAUCCCUAAUAGCACAUCUCGACGCAAUUGUAUUUAUUUAAUCAUAAAUAAAAUCAUUGUAUUUAAGCUAAAUGGACAUACAUAUGACCAGCAUUACAUGGUUGAUAAAUAACAACGCCAACAUAAAUUAAUAAAAUAAACCAACACCACAAAAUCCCACAACAUGUAUAGUAAGAACAAAUGUGUACAAGCAAAAUUAACUAACAAAAAAAUGUGUACAAGCAAAUAAAUCAGUCAGAAGAAUGGACCCAUUACCUUAGUUGCUCUGAAAUAGAACUGACUCAAUGAUUGGAUGGCAUUGUUCACUGAAUCGGAAUAAUAAAAACGAGCCUGUUUGUGUGACGAAAUGCUCUAGAAGACCCAAUUAGCUCAUAAUAUCGGCUGAAUAGAGGUUCUCGCUCAGCGAACCGAUGCAUGUAAUGUAAUACAUGAUCUCCUUCUUUAUCUUCUGUAUUCCUAAACCCCACUGAUUUGCAGGGACGAAAUAUCAUUCUUUUGUUUUCGGGUUUGUUUUUUCCUCUUUUAAAUUUCAC